rnacentral:rRNA from 1 species
AUGGUUUCGCUCAGAAGUAGGAAGAACUUCUAUCCUGGGGCGAUCCGGCUUGGUACAACCAGGGCCUAUCUCUUCGACAGCGAACAUGUUCUUAUAGAUUCUCGUGCGCGCCGGACCGGUGAAGUAUUCAUCCAGGGAACGGUUGUCAUGUUCCCCUGCCAUCUUGCGAACAUCACCACCGGUGACCAAGGAGUUGAUGCGGCAGGUUCUAUGUGCGCACACGACUCAGGCCAUGGAGAAGAUGCUGCUGGUGGAUGCGAUGGCUCGGAAGUGGAAGAAGCUGCCAGUAUGCACGCGGGCCUCGGACGUGCUCGUGGUGCACAUGAUGUCGUGCUUAAACGCGUGCGUGCGGCGCUACUUGCUGGUCCUGUCGUCGGGCGUGGCCGUGGAGGUGACGACAAUGCCGUCGGGGACGCCAGUGACGCUCGACGUGGUCGUCGACGCUUGGGCUUGGCUGGUCGCAGCAGAAUGCGCCCGGCUCUGACGAAGUGGCAAGGCGGCCUUACCGAAGUUGUUCCAUCUUCGCUAAAUGGCAGCAGCAAUGAUGCAACCAGCCCUGCCGACGUUAACCAAGGUGACUGUACAGAAAGUGUUCCAUCUUCAGUAAAUGGCAGUGGCAAUGAUGCAACCAGCCCCGCCGGCAACAUUAACCCAUGCAUCCGUGUGGAGUUGAAGAAAGGUGUUGUUCCAGAGAGUGACCCUGGAGUACAAGCUGAAGUAGCUGACACCGGCAGCAACAAUGGCUCAAAUGCUAAUCAAAAAAAGAAGCGAAGAUGGUACCCAGACCAUCAAAAGCAAGAAAUUUAUGCUAUGCUAUUAGAGCGGACAAAUCAAGGCGUACUAAACCAAGGGGUGGUUGACGAGGUGGCAGAGCUUUGUCAAGUUAAUUACCGGACUGUUCAAAACAUAUGGUCGAGAGGCAAGAAAGCCGGUGGUAUUCAUGGAGUAGCAAACAAAAGGGUGAAAACUUGUGGCCGCAAGAAGAUACCGUUUGAUUCAGAUGCCAUAAAAAAGAUUGAAUUGAGCAAAAGAACUACGCUCAAAGAUCUUGCUAAUGAGCUUCAAAUGGCGAAGACAACUUUAUGGAGAAGGUUGAAGGAGGGCAGACUGAAGCGCCAUACAAAUUCAAUUAAAUCCACAUUGACUGAUGACAACAAGGUGGGUCGGAUUCGGGUUUGUUUAUCCAUGUUGGAUGAGCUAAGUGUGCCUGAAGAACCCAGAUUUAAAGGCAUGUACAAUGUCAUUCACAUUGAUGAGAAGUGGUUCUACCGCACUAAAGGUACCCAGAACUACUACUUGGCACCUGAUGAAGAAGAACCCUAUCGCAGCACACAGAGCAAGGGAUUUAUCGAGAAAGUGAUGUUCUUGGCAGCAGUAGCAAGGCCUCGUUAUGAUGAUCAUGGUGUCAUGACUUUUGAUGGCAAGAUUGGAAUUUGGCCGUUCACAUAG